ensembl:ncRNA lncRNA:CR44902 long non-coding RNA:CR44902
ACUUUUCAAAGCAUUUUCUACUUUAAUAUAAUUCUAUUGCAUCUUACACCCGGCCAGCUCGGAGUUUUUGGCCAGCAAAAGGAUUGCUGCAAGAUAGUUUGUAAUACGUCCCUUCGGAACAAUCCGUCUUGUCCUUGUCCGCGUUCGUGUCCUUCUCCCAAUGCGUAAAUGCCUAAUGAAACGCGUACCAGCCGAAAAGCGCAAAACGAGCUCCCCGUUUAGCAUAGGACAACCCUCAUUUCCCACUUCCCGCUUAUUUCAAUGGCAAAAGCCCUACAAGCCAGACGACAAGCUGAACUAAGGCGAGGACAAUAACGACAGCGACAAGGACAACGGAGGCGCAAGGAUGCAAGGAUGCAAGGGAGCAGGGACCGAGCAGCCGACCAGUGGCAAUAAUUUAAUUUAAUGUGUUUGCAUGCAGCGACAACAAGAACAACCUUAACCACCGAGGAGGAUGCCGUUCUGGGGCCCCAAGAUAACUCACAAUUUGUGGCCGCUGCAACUCGCGACUUGCAACGCACAUCUCGCCACGCGGCAAAGGCGAAAUUUAUGGCUCCUUCCGUUGCGAUAUUCCCCACCAUUUGGGGGCGGAAAAUUCAUGCUGAAAUUAUUAGUGUAAACAUUUUGCAUUUAAUUAAUAAUGCGAACAGCCAAGCCGCGCUGACAGCCGUGGCCACAAAAGUAUGCAACAUCGUGGGGCCAACUUUGUCGCCAGUAAUGCGAUAAUAAUGAGGCAUUGACUGAAGUGGCGUUGCAAGCUUAUUUUUAAAUCCAUUUAUCGGAGUGCAGUCCAAAUUGACAAGGUCGAAGCCAUCAAGAGACU